rnacentral:rRNA from 1 species
CGCGUAGGUAAUCUACCCUUAUAUUUGGGAUAACAUUGGGAAACUGGUGCUAAUACCGAAUGGUCUUCAUUGCUUUGGGGCGAUGGAGUAAAGGUGGCCUCUUCAUGAAAGCUACCGUGUAGGGAUGAGCCUGCGUACCAUUAGCUAGUAGGUGGGGUAAUGGCCCACCUAGGCUACGAUGGUUAGCGGGUCUGAGAGGAUGAUCCGCCACACUGGAACUGGAACACGGACCAG